UCUCCGAUAGCACAAGCGCGUAAUCAACGCUGGGUGCUUUGUCGAGUGUCUUGUUAUGCGCGAGACAGAGCGUGCGGUUGAGCAGUAGCCGGCGAGCUCCACUAUUGUAAUUCCUUUCAUCACUGCCCGGUAUUAUAUGAUCGAGGUUAACGUUUCUGUUUAUCCUGUAUCAACACAUUUUGCCGUUGCCGGCUAGAACUGGUGCUGCUGCCGCCACCGGUACCGACCCGUAAUCCAGGGCGGUUGAACAAGACGGGAAAUUCGAAAGUAAUCAUGAAAUCUCGCUACUUUCACCAAUGGCUUUGAUUCUAUUCCGUACCCAGAGCGCUGUAUUAGAAUAGGAAGAAGAAAAAAAAGAAGCUAUACCGCCCGCUCAUCGUCAUUCGGUCGAUGAUGCUUCGCCAACUGUUUCCGCAUGUCUGCUCCGACACAACAAGUGAUGCCUCGCGGAAAAUAGCAGGAGGUCCAUUCGAUGACAAUAAUGCUGCUGUCACGUGGUGCCAUAACUCUGGCAACCGAGAAGCAGCCCGAAGCGAAAGCAGGUCAGCAGUCGGGCUGACAAGAGAAUAAACAAGGCUCAAGAGCGUACAGGUGGGAAUUUGAGAGGUUUUAGCUUGUCACUUUGCUUUGGCUGGGCGUUGAGAGACCGCUGCGCUGAGUUGGCUGAAGAGCGUUUUUCGAUAGUCUACAAACGAAAUAUAUAGUAGUGCUCAAAUUAGAUAUAACUUUAUGACAU